GUAUGUUAAGUCAGGGUAUGUUAAGUCAGGGUAUGUUAAGUCAGGGUAUGUUAGUCAAGGUAUGUUGGUCAAGGUAUGUUAAGUCAGGGUAUGUUAGUCAGGGUAUGNNNNNNNNNNNNNNNNNNNNNNNNNNNNNNNNNNNNNNNNNNNNNNNNNNNNNNNNNNNNNNNNNNNNNNNNNNNNNNNNNNNNNNNNNNNNNNNNNNNNNNNNNNNNNNNNNNNNNNNNNUCAGGGUAUGUUAAGUCAGGGUAUGUUGGUCAGGGUAUGUUAGUCAAGGUAUGUUAGUCAGGGUAUGUUGGUCAAGGGUAUGUUGGUCAGGGUAUGUUAAGUCAGGGUAUGUUAAGUCAGGGUAUGUUAAGUACGGGGGUGUUAGGGUAUGUUAAGUCCGGGUGUGUUAGGGUAUGUUAAGUCCGGGUGUGUUAGGGUAUGUUAAGUCAGGGUAUGUUAAGACAAGGUAUGUUAAAACAGGGUAUGUUAGUUAGGGUAUGUUAUUCGGGGUAUGUUAGUCAGGGUAUCUUAAGACAGGGUAUGUUAAGACAAGGUAUGUUAGUCAGGGUAUUAUUAGGGUAUGUUAGAGUAUGUUAAAUCAGGGUUAGUCAGGGUAUAUUAAGUCAGGGUAUGUUAAUCAGGGUAUGUUAUGUCAUUCAAUGUGAUUUUCUGGAUUUUUGUUUUAGAUUCCGUCUCUCACAGAUGAAGUGUACCUAUGAUAAAAAAUUACAGACCUCUACAUGCUUUGUAAGUAGGAAAACCUACAAAAUCGGCAGUGCAUUAAAUACUUGUUCUCCCCACUGUAUACAUCGAUCAAGUGUUUAAACUCCACCAAUGAAACUAGAUCAUCACAUUUUAAAAUGUUCAGGAGAGAAUUCCAGGACCACGGAACUGAGUAACUAAAACUAUUUCUACCAUGACCUGUCCUAAUUUUUCGUACUGUUAGAAGCAAAUGAGAAUGGGACCGUAAUUGAUAUUCAUUUACUAACCUGACUAAAAAAGAACAGAGAUAAAAUGGCAUUUUACCCAAUAUGGCCUUAAAAAUCAGUGUAUACCAGUGUUUAAGCCUACGCAAGGUCAAUGACGACCAGCCAACAGCGCUGUUGAGAUCUCAAUGAUGUGUUAGACAUGAUAUACUGAAUCAAGUGCUCUCAGGGUAGUGGCUGAGGCCGGCAUAUAUAUAACAUCACUCAAAUCUAAAUCCGACAGUAAUGUACGUCGUACCAGUUCCUUCCCAGCCUCUAAAGAAAAACAAGCCUUAUGCCGGUAAUAAAAUCCUAUUUUCAGCUUGAGCUUCCUUAUCAAGUUCUCUACAUGCACAGUGAAGCUCAGCUUAUCAUCAACCCACACAUCCAAAUACCAAUUUGAAAAUACCAUGCAUUUUGUUUUACCCAAAUCUGGAAUCAGCUUUAAAUCAUACAGAUUCUGUUGUAUGAUGUUAAAUGCUCUUUGGGCAUUUUCAAAAGCCAAAGAUAAACUACUACCACUUGAAUAAAGAACAGUAUCAUCUGCAUAAAAAUGAACAUCCGCUGUUUCAAUAAGAUCCCCAAUGUUGUUAAUAUGCAAAAUGAACAACAGUGGGCCCAAAAUAGAACCUUGCGGAACACCUGAGCACACCUCUACCGCCAUUACACAUUGUGUACGAUUUGAUAGGUAAUUUAUAAACCAAUCUAGAGCAUGACCGGUAAUUCCACAACAUUUUAACCUUUGCACUAACACAGUAUGGUCCACGGUGUCAAAAGCCUUCGACAAAUCAAUAACUGUAUCUUCUUAUCAAGAGCACAGUAGAUGUCAUUUAAAACCUUCAAUGUUGCUGAAACAGUGCUGUGGCCAGGCCUAAAACCUGAUUGCGUUCAAUUUAAGAUGUUGUUUUCUUGGAAGUAGGUCUUUAGCUGCCUACUAACUAAGGACUCCAGUACCUUUGACAGAACAGACAAUUUUGAUAUGGGUCGAUACUUGUCAAGUAGCGAAGGAUCUCCACCUUUCAGGAGAGGCAGUACACAAGCAGAUUUCCAUAACUUGGGGAUUUCCUUAACAUCAAGCGCAAGGUUAAAAAUACAUGUUAUGGGGGAGCAAUGAUGUCUGCGGCUAGGUGUAGGAGGCGGAGGCCUAGUUCAUCAGGGCCAGGGGAUUUAAUGUGUUGGCCUGUCUACGUGAUUACAGAUGCAUUAGCGUAUUGCUCUAAAAUAACUUGGCGCUCCAUGCUGAAGCUCAGCAUUUGGAACAGUGCUGUUAUUUGAUUAUUCACAUUAUUGCUACGUACUUUAAGAGUUUUCAGUCUUCCCAUUCUGUCUUCUGAAUUAAUUUAGUUGUCUCUGUUUUUUGCCUAGACUCUCUUGGUACCUUUAAAUACACAGUACCAAUCAACAGUUUGGACACACCUACUCAUUCAAGGGUGGCUACUUUAAAGAAUAUGAAAUAUGAAAUAUAUUUAGAUUUGUUUAACACUUUUUUGGUUACUACAUUAUUCCAUAUGUGUUUAUUUCAUAGUUUUGAUGUAUUCAAUAUUAUUCUAAAAUGUAGAAAAUAGUACAAAUAAAGAAAAACCCUUGACUGAGUAGGUGUGCUCAAACUUUUGACUGGUGCUGUGUAUUCGUAUAUAUAUAUAUAUAUAUAUAUAUAUAUAUAUAUAUAUAUAUAUAUAUAUAUAUAUAUAUAUAUAUAUAUAUAUAUAUAUAUAUGGCGUUGGUGGAUGGAGCGAGACAUGACGUCCCAGAUGUGCUCAAUUGGAUUCAGGUCUGGGGAACGAGCGGGCCAGUCCAUAGCAUCAAUGGGGAACGGGUGGGCCAG
rnacentral:lncRNA from 13 species